rnacentral:lncRNA from 1 species
UCCCUUGCCACAUUACACGCUCCGAUUUGUCAGGGCUGCUGACUGGGCGUCCUAUGUGGCACAACUUUUUUAAAUUGUAUUUUGACCCAUAAUUUUUGAUUUUUUUAAAAAAUAUCAACAGAACUUAAAUUUUCACCCUUUUUUCUCAAAAUUACUUUCAAUUUCAUUCUCUACCUAUUUUUCUUCAUUUUUACAUUAAAU